rnacentral:rRNA from 1 species
GAUGAACGCUGGCGGCGUGCUUAACACAUGCAAGUCGAACGAUGAAAGCGAGAGCUUGCUCUUGCUGGAUUAGUGGCGAACGGGUGAGUAACACGUGAGCAAUCUGCCCCGAACUCUGGGAUAAGCGUUGGAAACGACGUCUAAUACCGGAUACGACGCGCGAAGGCAUCUUCUGCGCGUGGAAAGAAUUUCGGUUCGGGAUGAGCUCGCGGCCUAUCAGCUAGUUGGUGAGGUAACGGCUCACCAAGGCGACGACGGGUAGCCGGCCUGAGAGGGUGACCGGCCACACUGGGACUGAGACACGGCCCAGACUCCUACGGGAGGCAGCAGUGGGGAAUAUUGCACAAUGGGCGAAAGCCUGAUGCAGCGACGCCGCGUGAGGGAUGACGGCCUUCGGGUUGUAAACCUCUUUCAGUAGGGAAGAAGCGAAAGUGACGGUACCUACAGAAGAAGCACCGGCUAACUACGUGCCAGCCGCCGCAGUAAUAC